AAAUAGAGGAAUAAUAUUUCAUGAGAUGAGGAUAUUACGAACAAAAAUGCAGAUGUGUGAGAGAUAAAAUUUUGGCAUUUAUUCCACAUUUAUAAUAGGUGAAGCUCUGGUCAUGGAAGACAUUGUCCAGACUGAGGUUAGCGUAGAAAGAACAGUGAAGCCUGAGGCAGUGAUCUCUGAAAUAGAAAGAGAAUCAUGAUAGUCAGAUACAAGAGAAUUUUCUGAGAGAUGACAGGAAAACAGAACCCAAUGGAUCAGUGAGGUGAAGAAGUAAAGGGCUAAAGUACGUUUAUUGAACCUGACAAUUCUGAGGUUAUUUAUGUGAUCAUCAGGAUGAUUUUUAGUGGAGCAGAGGGAGCAUAAGCCAGAUUACUGGGAUUAGGAAGUAAAAAAAGUAGAGGCAGAGAUCUUUCAAGAGGCUUAGAUUUGAUAGAGUAAAGAAAUUGGGAGAGUGCUAUAGGGGAAUAAAAAAUCAAGAGAGAGAAAUUGUUGAUAUUAGCCAUACUUGAACAUGUUUCUGGAUGGAAGAAAAUUUGCCGGAAAGAUUUUCCCCAGACUGAAAGGCCCACAUGAACUACAGGAAAAGCUGUCCACCAAACAUCUGUGAAAAAAUGAAUCUGAUUGCGAUACAAGGGAUGAACUAUGGUAGAUCCAAACGCAUCCCCCAUACACAUCCCCAGGUGUUUAGACCAGAUGUUUUUGCGCAGAUAAAGGAACCUGCACAGGGUCUUGCUUGGGCAUGCCCGCAACAGACUGGAGACCGUCAUGCACUGGAGGAAUGGGAUGGAGGCACCAGGAAUUUGGGCCUUAGGCAGGGAAGGAGCUUGGCCUCUUCAGCUCAUAUAUGGUGGCCUGGUAUUCAAUUUGUGAGGUGGAAGCCUCCUGGUCACGUGUCCGAAAUUGGUGGGUUCUUGGUCUCACUGACUUCAAGAAUGAAGCCGUGGACCCUCAUGGAAUCAAUCAGGAAUUAUGUCAAUCAAGAAUUAUGCAUGAACUGGAUUUAGUGGUUGGAAGAGUUUACAAAUUCUCAUUUAUUUUAAUUUAACUAUUUAUUCUAUCUUUUAUGUCAUUAAUAUUUUUAUAUAUCCAGGC
rnacentral:lncRNA from 1 species